rnacentral:rRNA from 1 species
UUUUUAUGGAGAGUUUGAUCCUGGCUCAGGAUGAACGCUGGCGGCGUGCCUAAUACAUGCAAGUCGAGCGAACAGACGAGGAGCUUGCUCCUCUGACGUUAGCGGCGGACGGGUGAGUAACACGUGGAUAACCUACCUAUAAGACUGGGAUAACUUCGGGAAACCGGAGCUAAUACCGGAUAAUAUAUUGAACCGCAUGGUUCAAUAGUGAAAGACGGUUUUGCUGUCACUUAUAGAUGGAUCCGCGCCGCAUUAGCUAGUUGGUAAGGUAACGGCUUACCAAGGCAACGAUGCGUAGCCGACCUGAGAGGGUGAUCGGCCACACUGGAACUGAGACACGGUCCAGACUCCUACGGGAGGCAGCAGUAGGGAAUCUUCCGCAAUGGGCGAAAGCCUGACGGAGCAACGCCGCGUG